ACGUUAGCGGCGGACGGGUGAGUAACACGUGGGUAACCUACCUAUAAGACUGGGAUAACUUCGGGAAACCGGAGCUAAUACCGGAUAAUAUUUCGAACCGCAUGGCUCGAUAGUGAAAGAUGGUUUUGCUAUCACUUAUAGAUGGACCCGCGCCGUAUUAGCUAGUUGGUAAGGUAACGGCUUACCAAGGCGACGAUACGUAGCCGACCUGAGAGGGUGAUCGGCCACACUGGAACUGAGACACGGUCCAGACUCCUACGGGAGGCAGCAGUA
rnacentral:rRNA from 1 species